GGGCCCGUAGCUCAGCCAGGUAGAGCACCGGUGAGGACCCGGGGGUCCCGGGUCCGAAUCCCGGCGGGCCCG
rnacentral:tRNA from 1 species